AACCCAGAUUCCUUACCCCCUGGACCUAAAUAUUGGUCUGAGUGUUUUAAAAAAAGGCAGAAAAGGAACCUGAAAUGGAUGUGGAAUCUUUAGUGACAGAGAAGCUCAUUUCACACAUAA
rnacentral:snoRNA from 1 species